CGCCUUGCCAGCCCGCUACAGAACUUAAAGGACUGACGGGGCCCGCACAAGCGGAGGAACAUGUGGUUAAUUCGAUGAUACGCGAGGAACUUACCUGGGCUAGAACGCAUUCGGAAUCAGGCCGAAAGGUCUGCGCCAGCGAUGGCCGGUUGCGAGGUGCUGCAUGGUUGUCGUCAGCUCGUGCCGUGAGGUGUCGGGUUAAGUCCCAUAACGAGCGCAACCCCUACUGCUAGUUGCCAGCGGGUCAUGCCGGGGACUCUAGCGGAACUGCCAGCGUAAGCUGCGAGGAAGGUGGGGAUGACGUCAAAUCAGCACGGCCCUUACGUCCAGGGCUACACACGUGUUACAAUGGCCAGUACAGAGGGCAGCCACCCCGCGAGGGGGCGCUAAUCCUAAAAGCUGGUCCCAGUUCGGAUCGGAGUCUGCAACCCGACUCCGUGAAGCUGGAUUCGCUAGUAAUCGCGCAUCAGCCACGGCGCGGUGAAUACGUUCCCGGGCCUU
rnacentral:rRNA from 1 species